rnacentral:rRNA from 1 species
GACGAACGCUGGCGGCGUGCUUAACACAUGCAAGUCGAACGGAAAGGCCCUGCUUUUGUGGGGUGCUCGAGUGGCGAACGGGUGAGUAACACGUGAGUAACCUGCCCUUGACUUUGGGAUAACUUCAGGAAACUGGGGCUAAUACCGGAUAGGAGCUCCUGCUGCAUGGUGGGGGUUGGAAAGUUUCGGCGGUUGGGGAUGGACUCGCGGCUUAUCAGCUUGUUGGUGGGGUAGUGGCUUACCAAGGCUUUGACGGGUAGCCGGCCUGAGAGGGUGACCGGCCACAUUGGGACUGGGAUACGGCCCAGACUCCUACGGGAGGCAGCAGUGGGGAAUAUUGCACAAUGGGCGGAAGCCGGAUGCAGCAACGCCGCGUGCGGGAUGACGGCCUUCGGGUUGUAAACCGCUUUCGCCUGUGACGAAGCGUGAGUGACGGUAAUGGGUAAAGAAGCACCGGCUAACUACG